rnacentral:lncRNA from 1 species
GAAGAGUUGUAGUAAUGAAGACUAGUGAUCUUCAACUUAGUGUUAUUGUUAGUAUGGAAGCAACUUGACUUCGUGAAAUUAUUUGAAAUUUAUAUAAGUCGAAGUUAUAUUUUAAAACAUAAAAGGCGAAAAAAAAAAUGUUGCAAGGAUUUCAUAGGAUUUGUUGUUGAAGUUAAAGCAUUGGAAAAUAGUAAUAAAUGGAAGAGAAUGAGAAGUGGCAACGCUAAUGACUUGUGGUGCUACGCGAGGAUGACAC